GACAGGCAACAUUAUGGACCCUGAAUUCCCUAAUUGUUGCUUAUGGAGAUAAAAUUGGCUCAUCUGCUUAUGAAGUUAUUAUUGUAUAACUUGCCACACUGAUAAGUGAUUCAGACUUGCAUAUGACGGCCCUCACCCUGGAACUCUGCUGCACCUUGAUGGCAGACAGGUCAAGCCUGGUUGUUGGAUUGGCUUUUAGAAACGAAGUUCUUCCGCAAGCACUAAUGUUAAUUAAGAGCUCAUUGCUGCAGGGGCAAGCCCUUUUGGCAUUGCAAAACUUUUUUUGCUUCCUUGGUGUAUUCUGCAAACACAAGUUUUGAUACCUUACUAGACUUUCUGCUAUCAAGUGCUAAACCGUCUCCCCACUCAGGUGGGGUUGCAAAACAAGCUUUGUAUUCAAUAGCUCAAUGUGCGGCUGUCCUUUGCCUUGCUGCUGGUGAUCAGCAAUGUUCAUCUAUUGUGAAAGCGCUAACUGAAAUUCUGAAAGAUGACAGCAGUAUAAAUUCGUGGUGAAGAUUGCAGCCUUGAGUUCAAGAAUAUGAAUGAAAUCUCAAAAUCUCCAAUUCUCUCGGACAAGUAUUAUUCCAUCCGAAAUGAAUGAUGGACUAGUUGGAACUCGUCUGUCUUACUGUGAUGUCAAGGUUUCGCGCAGCCACCGAGGAAGAUUGUAUCAUUAUUUUGUCGUGUGCAGGCUGGGCUUCUCUGUGGCAGAUUACACGGAAGUUGAAAAUGAAGUUAAGAAUUCAAAGCUGCAUGAACACAUCUUUAUCGUGGGAAUACCAGGUUCAAGUCAUUGCGAUGUUUUUGCCUUUGCAACUAACCAUCAUUUGGUUACAUGAUGUGUUGCUGGACAGAUUAUAUAGGGUGUGGAAUCAACGAAAUUUUUGUCAUUGAAUUUUUUAUUUUUUA